CUGCAUUCCUUCCAUAUUGUGAAUUACCCGCAGCUCUCACCCGUGUAAAUCUCCCCCAAUGUCCGCAUAGCUGGUGUGCUUGUACCUCCGGCCAUGCAAUCAGGCGUCUGUUCUCUGUCUGCAGCUGUCCUCAUGCAGGCUUAUGCAGGUGUGUAGGCCGGGUUCAUCAGUCUCGGUGUUCCCGGUGAAAUUUUGGCCAUAGUCUGGUAUCAUAUGGGUGCUUGGGUAGUACCCCAUUGUAAUGCAGCAUGUAAUCCGGCCCUGGGGCAAGUUGUGAGCAAGUUUUAUGCCGUUGUUUAGGGCUUAAGUUCGGAGCCACGGUGUUCUGCUGCCAUGCUGCUCG